CAACACGGAAACAAGAUAUUUCGAUUGUCAUAAAUGCUACAAGGGAAGAAAACCGAGAGUGCUGAGAGACUGAGCACUUCCGGACAGCCUCUCCAGGAGUCCAGCUGGAGCCAAGACCCAGAGAAUGAAGAGCAAGAGAGAGUGUUUCAGACAGAGGUCCGAGGGUCAGAGGCUUGAGGUGGAGAAGACACAGCCUUGAGGAUCCCACAGAAGCCAAUGUGGAGACCAGGGCCAGAUCGUUAGGGGAUCGAAGGCCACACCACAAAUGCAGAACUGAAUUCAGAGGAUCUACUGGAUGACACUUGUUUCGUUAUUGGUGACAAUGGACCCAGCACUGCCAAACUCUGUACAGAGAUGCGUGGAUUGGUCUCUGUCCUCAAAAACCUGCAGCCAACCUGAGUGGACAGGACUAACAUGCUGAAACAAGUAGAGGAUGACAGAGAUGCUACAGACUUGACUACUGCACUGCAUAGGUCAGCAGUUGUAUUAGUCUGUUCUCACACUGCUAAUAAAGACAUACUUGAGACUGGGAAAUUUAUAAAGGAAAGAGGUUUAAUGGACUCACAGUUCUACAUGGCUGGGGAGACCUCACAAUCAUGGCGGAAGGCGAAUGAGGAACAAAGUCAUGUCUUACAGGAUGGCAGGCAAGAGAGUGUGUGCAGGGGAACUCUCCUUUAUAAAGCCAUCAGAUCUCAUGAGACUUAUUCACUCUCAAGAGAACAGCUAGGGAAAGACCCACCCCCAUGAUUCAAUUACCUCCCACUGGGUCCCUCCCACAACACGUGGGAAUUAUGGGAGCUACAAUUCAAGAGGAGAUUUGGGUGGGGAUACAGCCAAACCAUAUCAGAGGUGCAGAGAAAAGUGGGACCUACAUGGACUGGAGGGGGAAAAAAAAAAGGAAAUUAUCUUGUGAUUGCAGGGUUUAGGCAGCAGCAUGGCUCAGUUUGGGGAAAUAAUACCUAGAAUUAAAUCAAUUGGUCUUACCCUUGCACCUACUUAUUUAACCAAACUUUGUACGUGCCAGGCAUUCUUCUAAGUGCUUUACAAAUAAUAUUUUAUUCAAUCCUUAAAACAACCUGUGUAGUAGACUAUUAUUAUCCAUGCUUUUUAAAUUGUGGUAAAAUAUACAUCACAUACAAUUUACCAUUGUAACCAUUUUUAGGUUUAUUAUUCAGUGGCAUUAAACACAUUCAGUGUUGUGUGACCAUCAUCACUACCCAUUUCCAGUCUUUUUUACUAUCUCAAACAGAAACUUCAUAUUUAUUAAACAAUAACUGCCCAUCUGUCCUCCCCCUAGACUCUGGCAACCACAAUUGUACUUUCUGUCUCUAUGAAUUUGCCUAUUCUGGGUACCUCACAUAAGUGGAAUCAUAUUUGUCCUUUUGUGACUGGUUUAUUUCACUUAGCAUGAAGGUUCAUCCAUGUUGUAGCAUGUAUCAGAACUUCAUUCUUUUUUCUUCCUUCAGAGUAGAGGAGGGAAAAAUAAUUUGAUUCCUUUUUUAGACUGAGUAAUAUUCGUAUAUGUAUGUAUGUGUGUAAAUAUAUGAUAUAUGUAUGUAUACACAUUUUAUUUAUCCA
rnacentral:lncRNA from 10 species